GAUGAACGCUGGCGGCGUGCCUAAUACAUGCAAGUAGAACGCUGAAGGAAGGAGCUUGCUCUUUCCGGAUGAGUUGCGAACGGGUGAGUAACGCGUAGGUAACCUGCCUGGUAGCGGGGGAUAACUAUUUGAAACGAUAGCUAAUACCGCAUAACAGUAGAUGUUGCAUGAUAUCUACUUAAAAGGUGCAAUUGCACCACUACCAGAUGGACCUGCGUUGUAUUAGCUAGUUGGUGAGGUAACGGCUCACCAAGGCGACGAUACAUAGCCGACCUGAGAGGGUGAUCGGCCACACUGGGACUGAGACACGGCCCAGACUCCUACGGGAGGCAGCAGUAGGGAAUCUUCGGCAAUGGACGGAAGUCUGACCGAGCAACGCCGCGUGAGUGAAGAAGGUUUUCGGAUCGUAAAGCUCUGUUGUAAGAGAAGAACGAGUGUGAGAGUGGAAAGUUCACACUGUGACGGUAUCUUACCAGAAAGGGACGGCUAACUACGUG
rnacentral:rRNA from 1 species